AGGGUUUGAUCCUGGCUCAGAUUGAACGCUGGCGGCAGGCCUAACACAUGCAAGUCGAACGGUAACAGGAUGUGCUUGCACAUCGCUGACGAGUGGCGGACGGGUGAGUAAUGCUUGGGAACUUGCCUUUGCGAGGGGGAUAACAGUUGGAAACGACUGCUAAUACCGCAUAAUGUCUUCGGACCAAACGGGGCUUCGGCUCCGGCGCAAAGAGAGGCCCAAGUGAGAUUAGCUAGUUGGUAAGGUAACGGCUUACCAAGGCGACGAUCUCUAGCUGUUCUGAGAGGAAGAUCAGCCACACUGGGACUGAGACACGGCCCAGACUCCUACGGGAGUCAGCAGUGGGGAAUAUUGCACAAUGGGGGAAACCCUGAUGCAGCCAUGCCGCGUGUGUGAAGAAGGCCUUCGGGUUGUAAAGCNCUUUCAGUUGUGAGGAAAAGUUAGUAGUUAAUACCUGCUAGCCGUGACGUAACAACAGA
rnacentral:rRNA from 1 species